rnacentral:rRNA from 1 species
AAUGGGGGAAACCCUGAUCCAGCCAUACCGCGUGAGUGAAGAAGGCCUUCGGGUUGUAAAGCUCUUUCAGCCGGAAAGAAAUCGUGCAGGCUAAUACCCUGUAUGGAUGACGGUACCGGAAGAAGAAGCACCGGCUAACUACGUGCCAGCAGCCGCGGUAAUACGUAGGGUGCGAGCGUUAAUCGGAAUUACUGGGCGUAAAGCGUGCGCAGGCGGUUUCGUAAGACAGACGUGAAAUCCCCGGGCUCAACCUGGGAACUGCGUUUGUGACUGCGAGGCUAGAGUAUGGCAGAGGGGGGUGGAAUUCCACGUGUAGCAGUGAAAUGCGUAGAGAUGUGGGGGAACACCGAUGGCGAAGGCAGCCCCCUGGGCCAAUACUGACGCUCAUGCACGAAAGCGUGGGGAGCAAA